AUUGAACGCUGGCGGCAGGCUUAACACAUGCAAGUCGAGCGGUGUGAUGGUGCUUGCACUAUCACUUAGCGGCGGACGGGUGAGUAAUGCUUAGGAAUCUGCCUAUUAGUGGGGGACAACAUUUCGAAAGGAAUGCUAAUACCGCAUACGUCCUACGGGAGAAAGCAGGGGAUCUUCGGACCUUGCGCUAAUAGAUGAGCCUAAGUCGGAUUAGCUAGUUGGUGGGGUAAAGGCCUACCAAGGCGACGAUCUGUAGCGGGUCUGAGAGGAUGAUCCGCCAAACUGGGACUGAGACACGGCCCAGACUCCUACGGGAGGCAGCAGUGGGGAAUAUUGGACAAUGGGCGGAAGCCUGAUCCAGCCAUGCCGCGUGUGUGAAGAAGGCCUUAUGGUUGUAAAGCACUUUAAGCGAGGAGGAGGCUACUUUAGUUAAUACCUAGAGAUAGUGGACGUUACUCGCAGAAUAAGCACCGGCUAACUCUGUGCCAGCAGCCGCAGUAACAC
rnacentral:rRNA from 1 species